CCAUGGAGGGCAGAGGGGCCGUGGAUUGAGUUACUACAGACGGCCUGGGAUUUACUCAGUCUUCCCUAAUGGAAGCUCCAUGGUUCAGGGAGCUUCAAGGGUUGGGGAACCCACGCACAAGCUGGGAGCGUGUUGCCCCCAGACUCCACAGAGACAGAAGCUCCUGGACUGGGAACCCUCCUGGAUCUCACCCUUCAUUUCUUCCUGUGGCUGUUCAUCCCUUGAGGGUAAACAGGCAGACGGUCCAAGCAUCUGUAAAGAAGGGGUGUGACCCGUUCUCCUGCUUCUCAUGACCCGUGUGUCUGUGGAAUUUGAUUUCUCAUUUGUUGGUUCUCACACUCAAGAAACACAGCAGCUACACGUCUUGACCAUGAAAUUUCCAAGACUGGGGUCCUUGUUCACAACGUCCACUUCCUCCCGUAUGGCCACCUUCAAUGUUCAGAAAUCAGGGCCCGGGACCUGGGGGACAUCUCCUGCCAGAGGGGACAGGGUUCCCCUUCUGCACUCGGUCAGUUUUCCCAUCGAUGGUAUCGCAAACAACUGCCCCGUGAAGACAGCGGGCAGGGUUCCGGCUGCCCCGCCCUGGGUUCUUACCUGCAGCCUGGCUCACCCUCCUUGUUCCGAAAUAAAUCUCGCUCGACCCCCGGAGUAUCUGAGUUCUGCAAACCCAUCUUCAGGAAUCAGCAGACAGAUGGGAACACACAGACGCGUGAAACUUUGAUAGCAGACUCCGGCACCCAGCAUGUUUCUCAAAGCACCGGAGUCUAAUUUUCAUUCCCAAAAAAGCCCCCUUGAAGACUUCUCAGCACGAAUUAGGCUAUCCAUAUUUCAUGCAAAAAAAAAAAAUCAGACAUAAAAAAAAAAAAACCACCCAAAUGACUCUUAGUUAUGAGUGGAGACAUUCCAAAUCGAAAGCAGCACCUUCUGGCCUCUGCCAAGGCUAUGAAAAUGCAAUGAUCUCCAGAAAUUCAUACACGCAUCCCUGGGGACAUUGUUACGGGCUCAUAAAAAGAAAAGUUGCUGGUACUUGAGCUUGCAAAUAAUUUAUGCACUGGGUUUGUCUCGGACGCCUGGAGUCCCGUGUGCCGAAUUGGCCACCUACUCAUACGCAGGAAACAUGUCGUCGGCAUCAGAAUGGAGUCUUGGUGGUCUCACGCACGUGCCAGCCCCAGCAUGAAGAAACACGCUUUUUCCAUGCGCCACCUUGAACGUUUACAACCCAGUCAUCAUGUUGGACCAAGCCGCCUCUGAUCAUAAACACUGUUGUUCAGUCGCUCACUCGUGUCCAA